rnacentral:rRNA from 1 species
AUUGAACGCUGGCGGAAUGCUUUACACAUGCAAGUCGAGCGGCAGCGCGGGGGCAACCCUGGCGGCGAGCGGCGAACGGGUGAGUAAUGUAUCGGAACGUACCCAGUCGUGGGGGAUAACUAUCCGAAAGGAUAGCUAAUACCGCAUACGUCCUGAGGGAGAAAGCGGGGGACCGAAAGGCCUCGCGCGAUUGGAGCGGCCGAUAUCGGAUUAGCUAGUUGGUGAGGUAAAGGCUCACCAAGGCGACGAUCCGUAGCUGGUCUGAGAGGACGACCAGCCACACUGGAACUGAGACACGGUCCAGACUCCUACGGGAGGCAGCAGUGGGGAAUUUUGGACAAUGGGGGCAACCCUGAUCCAGCCAUUCCGCGUGAGUGAAGAAGGCCUUCGGGUUGUAAAGCUCUUUCAGCAGGAACGAAACGGUGGUCCUUAAUACGGGCUGCUAAUGACGGUACCUGAAGAAGAAGCACCGGCUAACUACGUGCCAGCAGCCGCGGUAAUACGUAGGGUGCGAGCGUUAAUCGGAAUUACUGGGCGUAAAGCGUGCGCAGGCGGUUCUAUAAGACAGAUGUGAAAUCCCCGGGCUUAACCUGGGAACUGCGUUUGUGACUGUAGGACUCGAGUGUGGCAGAGGGGGGUGGAAUUCCACGUGUAGCAGUGAAAUGCGUAGAGAUGUGGAGGAACACCGAUGGCGAAGGCAGCCCCCUGGGUCAACACUGACGCUCAUGCACGAAAGCGUGGGGAGCAAACAGGAUUAGAUGCCCUGGUAGUCCACGCCCUAAACGAUGCGAACUAGGUGUUGGGGAAGGAGACUUUCUUAGU